rnacentral:lncRNA from 1 species
UUAAAUAACUGUUAACCACACCUGCACAGAGCCUCUGGCAAUGCUGGCUUAUACAGAAUCUCAAGAACUGCCAUGUGCCUGACAUCAUACCUUUGCAAGGAAAGAAAAGUCCUAGGUGUUAGCCCAAGACUGCAGUGUACUUCUGGGGAUGUGUUGGCUGGAUUUCUGUCCCAUUAGCGCUGAAGAGUUUUGCCCAAGAAUAUUGCAGGGAACCUAUCUUUCUCAGUGUGUUGUGAGUCUUCCCUUUCAGAGCAGGGAGCAGUCGGAGCAUAAGGAGAAACAACGCUCCCAACUUGUGCAAAGAAGUGUUCAUUACCACCAAGCCUCUCCAGCUCAUUACCAAGCCUCUCCAGAUCCUCCCUUGGAUUCACC